CAGAAAAUAAUAUAUAAUUGUAUAUAAAUUUUGGAGAUUUAAAGAGAAAAUUUCUUUUCUGA
rnacentral:tRNA from 1 species